UGAGCUGGUGAAUCAGGGCAAGGACGGG
rnacentral:piRNA from 1 species